GAAAUGCGAUAAGUAAUGUGAAUUGCAGAAUUCAGUGAAUCAUCGAAUCUUUGAACGCACAUUGCGCCCGCCAGUAUUCUGGCGGGCAUACCUGUUCGAGCGUCAUUACAACCCUCAGGCCCCCGGGCCUGGUGUUGGGGAUCGGCGGAAGCCCCCUGCGGGCACAACGCCGUCCCCCAAAUACAGUGGCGGUCCCGCCGCAGCUUCCAUUGCGUAGUAGCUAACACCUCGCAACUGGAGAGCGGCGCGGCCACGCCGUAAAACACCCAACUUCUGAAUGUUGACCUCGAAUCAGGUAGGAAUACCCGCUGAACUUAAGC
rnacentral:misc_RNA from 1 species